GGACUACCGGGGUAUCUAAUCCUGUUUGCUCCCCACGCUUUCGAGCCUCAGCGUCAGUUACAAGCCAGAGAGCCGCUUUCGCCACCGGUGUUCCUCCAUAUAUCUACGCAUUUCACCGCUACACAUGGAAUUCCACUCUCCCCUCUUGCACUCAAGUUAAACAGUUUCCAAAGCGUACUAUGGUUAAGCCACAGCCUUUAACUUCAGACUUAUCUAACCGCCUGCGCUCGCUUUACGCCCAAUAAAUCCGGACAACGCUCGGGACCUACGUAUUACCGCGGCUGCUGGCAC
rnacentral:rRNA from 1 species